GACGAACGCUGGCGGCGUGCCUAAUACAUGCAAGUAGAACGCUGAAGGAGGAGCUUGCUCUUCUGGAUGAGUUGCGAACGGGUGAGUAACGCGUAGGUAACCUGCCUGGUAGCGGGGGAUAACUAUUGGAAACGAUAGCUAAUACCGCAUAAGAGUAGAUGUUGCAUGACAUUUGCUUAAAAGGUGCAAUUGCAUCACUACCAGAUGGACCUGCGUUGUAUUAGCUAGUUGGUGGGGUAACGGCUCAUCAAGGCGACGAUACAUAGCCGACCUGAGAGGGUGAUCGGCCACACUGGGACUGAGACACGGCCCAGACUCCUACGGGAGGCAGCAGUAGGGAAUCUUCGGCAAUAGACGGAAGUCUGACCGAGCAACGCCGCGUGAGUGAAGAAGGUUUUCGGAUCGUAAAGCUCUGUUGUAAGAGAAGAACGAGUGUGAGAGUGGAAAGUUCACACUGUGACGGUAUCUUACCAGAAAGGGACGGCUAACUACGUG
rnacentral:rRNA from 1 species